GACGAACGCUGGCGGCGUGCCUAACACAUGCAAGUCAACUUGACUGAAGGAGCAAUCUGACAGUAGAGUGGCGCAAGGGUGCGUAACGCGUAAGUAACUUGCCCCAAGGUAAGGAAUAACGUCGAGAAAUCGGCGCUAAUACCUCAUAAUGCAGCGGAUCCGCAUGGAUAUGUUGUUAAAGGUUUACCGCCUUGGGAUAGGCUUGCGUCUGAUUAGUUAGUUGGUGUGGUAACGGCACACCAAGGCUACGAUCAGUAACUGGUCUGAGAGGAUGAUCAGUCACACUGGAACUGAGACACGGUCCAGACUCCUACGGGAGGCAGCAGUGAGGAAUAUUGGGCAAUGCUCGAAAGAGUGACCCAGCAACGCCGCGUGGAGGAUGAAGGUAUUCUAUAUCGUAAACUCCUGUGAGAGCAGACGAAAGACAGAUUAUUAAUCUGGAUGACUGUAUGCUCAGAGGAAGCCCCGGCU
rnacentral:rRNA from 1 species